rnacentral:lncRNA from 1 species
UUGCAUGUGUUGAACCACAAACACAAAUCUGCAGACAAGACAAACGUAUCAUAGAGGGGAUGGCAACUGUGGCUGUGAAUUAUACAGUAGAGCCUCACUUAUCUAAGCUAAACGGGCCGGCAGAAGCUUGGAUAGGCGAAUAUCUUGGAUAAUGAGGGAUUAAGGAAAAGCCUAUUAAACAUCAAAUUAGGUUAUGAUUUUACAAAUUAAGCACCAAAACAUCAUGUUACACAACAAAUUUGACAGAAAAAGUAGUUCAAUACGCAGUAAUGUUAUGUUGUAAUUACUGUAUUUACGAAUUUAGCACCAAAAUAUCACGAUAUAUUGAAAACAUUGACUACAAAAAUGGCUUGGAUUAUCCAGAGGCUUGGAUAAGCGAGUCUCACUUAUCCAAGCUAAACGGGCCGGCAGAAGCUUGGAUAAGCGAAUAUCUUGGAUAAUAAGGAGGGAUUAAGAAAAAGCUUAUUAAACAUCAAAUUAGGUUAUGAUUUUACAAAUUAAGCACCAAAAUAUCAUGUUAUACAACAAAUUUGACAGAAAAAGGAGUUCAAUACACAGUAAUGUUAUGUUGUAAUUACUGUAUUUAUGAAUUUAGCACCAAAAUAUCAUGAUGUAUUGAAAACAUUGACUACAAAAAUGGCUUGGAUAAUCCAGAAUGUUGGAUAAGCGAGUGUUGGAUAAGUGAGACUCUACUGUACUAACACAUGCAUAUUGUCAAGUGCUACUAUGAAAGUGAAUGAACAGCCCUGAUAAGACUACAUAGAUACUGGAUUACUACAUUGUCUGUGUGUGUUUCUUUUGCAUAGCAGUUCUCUACCAUCACCACCACCUAAAAGAUGCAAGAAAAACAGGAAGACAAUACAGGGACAUGCACUGUUCAUGCUUAAGACACAGACCCUUGCUCAAGACAUGUUUUGGUGGAUGCAAAACAAUAUUCUGCAGUAUCACAAAGACUAACACAUUUAUUGUAGCUAAACGUUUGUGAACUACAGUGCACUCCUUCAGAUGAGGACUGCUGUUCAGAUUUUCAAGUACGUAUGCACAUAUCCAUACAGUACUUACAGUAAGGGGUGUCAUUGUAUAUUAUGCAGUUAUAGGGAAAUUAAAUGCAGAAAGUACUGAUAAUAACAACUAUAUUAUUGAGCUUGGCUAUUCAGAAAACUUAUUGGCAACACUGUCUAUUUUGUCACACACUGAUUUCCUACCAACAGCACUGCAAAAGUGGGUCAAAAUAGUACAAACAGUUCAAUCUACAAAUCUUCUUUACAGGUAUGGUCAUCCACAACCCAAUGUUCAAAGUCUUGUAUUCUCUUUAGAGUUUCCUCUAGAUCCAGUCUGAGAACUGACAUUUUAAAAAGGGUCGACAAAAAAGAAAAGGAAAAGGAAUCACAUGGAGUGGAGAUAGCACAGUGACUUUGAAAAAGCACGUUGGGAUAGUGUUCCCUCACUACUUCACAGUUCACUUUUCGCGGAUUCACUGUUUCGCGGUUUUUCAAUAAACUCUAAAAGACUAUUAUUAAUCAUAAAAAUUACAAUUUACAGCCUAAGGGAGGAAGGAAGGAGAAGCCAAAGGGAGAGAAAAGGAGCCCAAGCAGCAAUGGGAGGAGAAGGAGGCAAUUUAUCAACACACGAUUGGUUGAUAAAGACUUAAAAUAGUGUAUAACUGCUAAAAUAAUGUAUAAAUAUUAAAAUAAAUAUAGUGUCCCUACUUCGCAGAUUUUCACUUAUUGCAGGUGGUCCUGGAACCUAACCCCAGAAAUAACUGAGGGAACACUGUACUUCUAUUUGAAAUUCGCACUAUAUACCUAGAAUCAGCCUACAAUAACUGACUAAUUCAGGAUAGACCAGAAUAGGAUGGGACACAAUUUCACGCCACAAACUCAGUUCAUUAGUUAGUUAUUCCAUACAUACAAAGUGCAUAGGGUGUACUUAUUUGGAUACAACUUAUCUAUAAAUAUUGCCACACAUACUUCUCUCGCUCAUAGAUACACAUGGUUUUGCACAUUCAAAUUUAAGUAAUCCCUUGAAUAUGUACAAAGUUUGCUAUUCAUACAGAGCUGUGUAUUUAUUAGGAUGUUCAAAAAACAUGCAAACAAAAUAUAUUUCUAAAUGGAAACAAGAACUGCUAGUCACAUAGUAUGUUCUUCAUGGCCCAUGAUUGUAACAAAAAUACUUUCCCCCCUAUUCAGCCAGUAAAUUCCUCCAACUACUAAAAAUAAAAUAUUUAAUUCGAAUAUAUACGGAUGC